rnacentral:tRNA from 1 species
UUAUUAAAACAUUAAAUUGCAAAUUUAAAAUUAAUUAAUAAA